GACGAACGCUGGCGGCGUGCUUAACACAUGCAAGUCGAACGGAAAGGCCCUGCUUUUGUGGGGUGCUCGAGUGGCGAACACGUGUGUAUCACGCGUGUAUCCUGCCCUUUACUUUGGGGUAUCUUCAGGAAAAUGGGGCUCUUAUCGGAUAGGAGCUCCUGCUGCAUGGUGGGGGUUGGAAAGUUUCGGCGGUUGGGGAUGGACUGGCGGCUUAUCAGCUGGUUGGUGGGGUAGUGGCUUACCAAGGCUUUGACGGGUAGCCGGCCCGAGCGGGUGACCGGCCACAGUGGGACUGAGAUACGGCCCAGACUCCUACGGGAGGCAGCAGUGGGGAGUAUUGCACAAUGGGCGGAGGCCUGAUGCAGCAACGCCGCGUGCGGGAUGACGGCCUUCGGGUUGUAAACCGCGUUCGCCUGUGACGAAGCGUGAGUGACGGUAAUGUGUAAAGAAGCACCGGCUAACUACGUG
rnacentral:rRNA from 1 species